AGAGUUUGAUCAUGGCUCAGGACGAACGCUGGCGGCACGCUUAACACAUGCAAGUCGAACGAGAGAAGAGGAGCUUGCUUUUCUGAUCUAGUGGCGGACGGGUGAGUAACACGUGAGCAAUCUGCCUUUCAGAGGGGGAUACCGAUUGGAAACGAUCGUUAAUACCGCAUAACAUAAUUGAACCGCAUGAUUUGAUUAUCAAAGAUUUAUCGCUGAAAGAUGAGCUCGCGUCUGAUUAGCUAGUUGGUAAGGUAACGGCUUACCAAGGCGACGAUCAGUAGCCGGACUGAGAGGUUGAUCGGCCACAUUGGGACUGAGACACGGCCCAGACUCCUACGGGAGGCAGCAGUGGGGAAUAUUGCACAAUGGAGGAAACUCUGAUGCAGCGAUGCCGCGUGAGGGAAGAAGGUUUUAGGAUUGUAAACCUCUGUCUUCAGGGACGAAAAAAGACGGUACCUGAGGAGGAAGCUCCGGCUAACUACGUGCCAGCAGCCGCGGUAAUACGUAGGGAGCGAGCGUUGUCCGGAAUUACUGGGUGUAAAGGGAGCGUAGGCGGGAUCGCAAGUCAGAUGUGAAAACUAUGGGCUUAACCCAUAAACUGCAUUUGAAACUGUGGUUCUUGAGUGAAGUAGAGGUAAGCGGAAUUCCUAGUGUAGCGGUGAAAUGCGUAGAUAUUAGGAGGAACAUCAGUGGCGAAGGCGGCUUACUGGGCUUUAACUGACGCUGAGGCUCGAAAGCGUGGGGAGCAAACAGGAUUAGAUACCCUGGUAGUCCACGCCGUAAACGAUGAUUACUAGGUGUGGGGGGACUGACCCCUUCCGUGCCGCAGCAAACGCAAUAAGUAAUCCACCUGGGGAGUACGACCGCAAGGUUGAAACUCAAAGGAAUUGACGGGGGCCCGCACAAGCAGUGGAGUAUGUGGAUUAAUUCGAAGCAACGCGAAGAACCUUACCAGGUCUUGACAUCGUAUGCAUAGCUCAGAGAUGAGUGAAAUCUCUUCGGAGACAUAUAGACAGGUGGUGCAUGGUUGUCGUCAGCUCGUGUCGUGAGAUGUUGGGUUAAGUCCCGCAACGAGCGCAACCCUUACUGUUAGUUGCUACGCAAGAGCACUCUAGCAGGACUGCCGUUGACAAAACGGAGGAAGGUGGGAAUGACGUCAAAUCAUCAUGCCCCUUAUGACCUGGGCCUCACACGUACUACAAUGGCUGUCAACAGAGGGAAGCAAAGCCGCGAGGUGGAGCGAACCCCUAAAAGCAGUCUUAGUUCGGAUUGUAGGCUGCAACCCGCCUACAUGAAGUCGGAAUUGCUAGUAAUCGCAGAUCGGCAUGCUGCGGUGAAUACGUUCCCGGGCCUUGUACACACCGCCCGUCACGCCAUGGGAGUCGGUAACACCCGAAGCCUGUAGUCUAACCGCAAGGAGGACGCAGUCGAAGGUGGGAUUGAUGACUGGGGUGAAGUCGUAACAAGGUA
rnacentral:rRNA from 1 species